rnacentral:rRNA from 1 species
AUUGAACGCUGGCGGCAGGCUUAACACAUGCAAGUCGAACGAGUGGCGGACGGGUGAGUAAUGCUUGGGAAUCUGGCUUAUGGAGGGGGAUAACGACGAGAAACUGUCGCUAAUACAGCGUACCAUAGGAUGAGCCCAAGUGGGAUUAGGUAGUUGGUGGGGUAAUGGCCUACCAAGCCGACGAUCUCUAGCUGGUCUGAGAGGCUGCCCAUCCACUCCUGGACUGCGACAUGGCCCGGCCGCUUACGGAGGGCAGCAGUGGGAGAGAUUGCGCAAUGUGGGAAACCUGACGCAGCCAUGCCGCGUGAAUGAAGAAGGCUUUCGGGUUGUAAAGUUCUUUCGGUGACGAGGCGUUAAUCACAGAAGAAGCACCGGCUAACGCCGUGCCAGCAACCGCGGUAAUAC